GGCUUUCGGACAGUCUUUUGUCUGGGAGUCUUUUUGUUGCUAAGCGACUGCAGGAAGCUUGUCAUUAGCUAGUGGUGGCUCAGUGGCUGGUUGGCAGCACGCGUGUGGACAUUGGGCGGAACGAACAGCGUAGCUGCUCUUCAAAGCCAACGCGCGUUUGUCUAGAGAACAAAGAGCGACGAGUGAUACAGACCAAAAAGUGUGGAGUGAAACAGAGGAACAAAGCGUGCAGCACAGCCAGGCCCACGAACUCGUGUGGUCUGUUUGAGAGAAAUUUGAGAAAGAGAAGGCAAACAAUUCUUACUUCCUGGUGGUCAAGAUGUGAAGAGGAGACUGCAGCAGCUUCGAUUGUACUGAUACGAAAAGACAAUGAGAUUUCCCAUUAUCUUUCCUCGCUGCCAGAUGAUCCUCAGGAUUCGGAAGCUGAAGCUGAUUAUCUUGAAGAGGACAAUACUUCAAAUGCAGAGUCAUCUAGAAGUGGUAUGCCACAUGAGGUAUCAGAAAAUCGAACAGCAGGUAGUAGUUCAGACAUUUCACAAAUAACAAAUAACAUUGACAGUAGAAUUGCAAAUGUCUUUCCUGUUAUUUUCGCUGAUGAGAACUCUUAUGAAAGAAGAGAUAAGAGAUCAAGAUGUGAUUCUGACAGUGACUGGGAUGAUUAGAUAAGAUUGGUU